rnacentral:lncRNA from 1 species
CUCAGAAGAUCCAAAGAAUAAUUUUCUGAGGAAUAUUACUGACCGCAAUGCCUUCUAGUAGAAGUAGAGUAUUCUAUUCUCUUUGUUCAUCUCUGCUUCUAGCUCCAAGUCUGCAUCCCUUUUUGCAAUGACUUUUAAUGCCCUAAGCUUUGAUUUUUAAAAACAUUAAAAAAUUUUAUUUUUGUUUUCAUUACCUACAUGUCUCAUAGAAACAUCACCUAUAAUAAAGACCACAAAAGGAAAAGAAAAGCAGUCCAGUAAAACCAAUAGACAGCACAAGAAAACUGGCAUCUACAGAAUUUUGCAUUCAUAGUACCCCAACUCUGCCAACAGGCAGUGUGGUUUUCUGUGCUUGUAGAACAUAAACAGUGGAAGAUUUUACAGACAUGAGAAGGUUUUGAAGAUAGGCAUAAUCGUGUGUGUAUAAGGACUAGGCCUUGGAACUUGAUUCUGAGAGAUACGGCCAGAAGAUUUUGGCACCAGGUAAGAAACUAAUUCAGAUGAAUGCUGCUGUCACAAGGAAAUUUUUCAAGAAUAUAAUAUGGAGAAAAGCUGCUUAUCUCCCCUCAAGAAGACAUUUUCCACACUGGGAGUUGUUCACACCAAAGAAAUCUUGGACCAGGAC